GUGGGGAAUAUUGGACAAUGGGCGAAAGCCUGAUCCAGCCAUGCCGCGUGUGUGAAGAAGGUCUUCGGAUUGUAAAGCACUUUAAGUUGGGAGGAAGGGCAGUAAGUUAAUACCUUGCUGUUUUGACGUUACCGACAGAAUAAGCACCGGCUAACUUCGUGCCAGCAGCCGCGGUAAUACGAAGGGUGCAAGCGUUAAUCGGAAUUACUGGGCGUAAAGCGCGCGUAGGUGGUUUUGUAAGUUGGAGGUGAAAUCCCCGGGCUCAACCUGGGAACUGCCUCCAAAACUGCAUGACUAGAGUACGGUAGAGGGUAGUGGAAUUUCCUGUGUAGCGGUGAAAUGCGUAGAUAUAGGAAGGAACACCAGUGGCGAAGGCGACUACCUGGACUGAUACUGACACUGAGGUGCGAAAGCGUGGGGGCAAACAGGAUUAGAUACCCGAGUAGUCC
rnacentral:rRNA from 1 species